rnacentral:lncRNA from 1 species
AUUGCUUUCUUUCUGAAAAACUCAAAGUCAAGUGUCAAGUAGGAACACUACUAAUAUGGAAAAAUAGUAUCUAAUAAGUCAUUAGCAGGUAUACUGUAUUUUCCCACCAUAUUCAUAUUUAACUCAUUUCAGCCUUACUUCACUGUGCUCACUCUGUACAAAGAAACUUGAUCAUUGAGAAGAUUUUGCCAGCAUUUUGACUCUGCUUCUCUAUGGGACAUGAGUCCAGAUAACGAGCCUCAUCUUGAAAAAAAUAGAAAGACAUCAAGCAGGAUGGUUCUUAGAAAGGCUGGGCUUGCCGCACAGUGUUGUCACUUGAGCACAUGGAUCAGCUGCCACGGGAGACAAGAGACGUGACCCACUGCUGAGCACCUCAAAGGCUUGCCCCUAGAAUUCCAGAAUACUAGGAGACCUUCAGAAUUUAUAGCCAGAAUUUAUAAAGCAGUCCUUCAGGCAACUCCCUGGAAAGGUGGACCAUUGGAUGCAUGCUCCAACUUCUUUUCCUCCUUAGACAGAAGCUGAGACUUGGGGGUUUUCUGCCCCUUGUUCUGCCCAGGUGGU